rnacentral:lncRNA from 1 species
AAAAAAAGAGAAGAUUAAUUACAUAAACAAUUUCUAAAACCUCUAUAAAAUUUGAUUGUUAAAAAAAAGAGAAGAUUAAUUACAUAAACAAUUUCUAAAACCUCACACGUUACAAACAAUUCAAGAGCAGUUGCAUAAUUAUCCAAAAUAAAAGUCCAAAUAACAAAAGCUACUGCAACAAUGACAGGUUGAGAACAGAGCCUUUGAAGAACCAACGGCCAAAACCAUUCUUCAGGCCAAAACGCUCCUAAAUCCAAUUGCCUCAUAGAGUGGAUGCA